GUAUGAGGGUGUUGGAAGCCCUGGAACUGGAGUUACAGACAGCUGUGAGAUGCCUCGUGGUUGCUAGGAAUUGAAUCCAGCUCCCCUGAACCACCAGCUCACACCCGACUCACACCUCCCAGUUCCCCUUUCCAGCCCUCACCUUCUUACAGAAACAGACCCACACUCGUGUACCCUGGAGCUCACCCCAGCAUGGACUGGGCAUGAUCUCAAGGAAGGACAAGCUCACAGUAGUCCCUCACUCAGACAGUACUGACUCAGUGCCCUCGAAUCAGAGAAGCAGACGGCUUCUCCCUCCUCCUUUCAGCCAACAAAACACCGCCACGAGAGGUGGUAGGUUCCGAGCCAGUGGGGUUCAGGGACACAAAGAAGCACCACAGCUGCUGCUUAGCACCCUCCAAACCACACCCCAACUGCACACCACACCACCACCGCAGCAGCCCACCAUGCCAUACUUCCCCUACUGGGCCCUGUUGGGCUAUAGAAAAAAAUGUCCUACAAAGAAACAAUAUAAGUAUUUUCUAUUGCUUCCCAGGACCGGAGCAAAGCCCUUACCUCGGAAGAGUGUCACCCUCAGAACACCCUCCUCCCCCAAAAAAUACACAAACCACUUGGCAUGGUUAAAAGCUGACAGGGCAUGGGAAGGGAUAUUCCACAAGGGUUGACACAGUUUUCAGGCUCACAACAGGAUACCUUUAAAAGAAGCCCACCUUCUACCAUGAGAAACGAAAGACAGAAAUAGACUCCACAGCAGCAAGGGAAGGGACUGGCAGGCGUGGGGGUUUUUUUUCUCUUCUUUUUUUAAAGAUUUGUUCUGAUCUAUGUUCUCCCACUAAUAGUUUAAGCAAACCCACAUUGUUCCCAAGGAGAUAUUCCUUACUAAAAGCUGGUUGCCACAGCUCUGCUCAGCACUACUCUGGAAUUCUAUUCUCCAAACUGGGAUGCCUCCUUUCACAGCAAGGGUCAGGCCAUCCUGGGAAAUCAGCAAGAGGACAAGUGUAGGUGUACCUCACACUGUGACCCACAGACUUAGGACUCUCUUCCUUAUGGUCCACCAAGUGAUCUCCUCAAACCCAAGGACCAGAGAGGGAUAAGGAUGCACCUAGGUCACACAGUAAGCCAGAGGCCAAGGAUACCAGCCCUGGCUUUCAAUGCUGAUUUUAUACAUUCACCUGCAUAACGUUUUUUGCUGGCUAUCCAUCACUCUUGGCAAGCAGACAGCCCCAGGAGGGUCUGCUUCAGACUGCCCUAUUCACUGGUGAUAUCUGCACAGUCUGGAAGGAAUAAGUACCUGCUAGGUGGGUGGAUGAGUGGGUCCAAGCCUGGACCAAUAGAUGUUGAAAGAAUAGGCUCUCAUUUCAGGAUGGGGGUGUACUUCUGUGAGCCACGCCCCUCUGCUAGAUGCUGGAGUAUCUCCCCUCCUCUCAGUGUGUCCCCAGCUGGUGGUCAGGUGGAUAUUCCGCAAGCUCACAGAGGUCCAAGAUCAGGCCGGGGACAGAGCUCUAGGAGCCCAGGCAGGGAAGUUCAAGUCCACUUUGAUUCUUGUGAUCUUUGGCUUCCUGGAUGUUAAGCACCACCUGGGGUCAAGGAAUGGUUCUUGGACCAGAAAGCUUCAAGCUAUACGGAGGAGUGGGGAGAAGAUGGAGAACAAAGGACUGGGUUCAGCUGAGAACCCCAGCCUACAAGGAGAGGUGAGCCAGAUCUGGUAAUGAUUCUAGCAUCAAACUCUUCUUUUGAGUUAGUCACAGAGUUCACAGAGCGCUAACGGAGCCACUGGAAGCCGCUUGAGCAGGAGAUCGGCUCAGCAUUCCCUCCUAGAUGGUACAGAGAGGUGCCCAGAGACAUGGCGGGUGGUCAGGAGGCUGGAUACCAGGUGCCAGCUGGUGAUAGAAUGAAGGUCCUUGAAAUCAUGACCAGCCUUCCAUUGGGGCUGAUCGGCCCUGGAGCAGGGGCAGAGUCCUCAGAACGGCCCUUUUCCAGCGCCCUUCACCCACUAGGCAUGACUGCACAGAUCCACAGGCUAGCCACACUUCUCUACCCCCUGCCAAGCAUCUAGCAACCUCAGCCUUCGGGCUUUCCAUAGGAAGGGGGUUGGUUGAUGGAACAUGGCAACUAGUAACAUUCCACUUCUACCCUGUUACGAGCACCAUGGAAACAGGACACUCAGAAUGUCCCAGCUAGGAGACCUAGCCUCAAAGCUCCAUCUACUAAAUGGAGAUACCAAGGCUGGGGUGGAAGGGUGGGGGAUGGAGAUGGGACAAGGUGAACAGACUAACCAACCAGUCCAGGAGACGGGUAGGCUCAGUUAGCAGAUGUCUCCUGUCCACUGGAUGCCCAACAAGUGUGGGCAGAAUGUCCUUCUCGCCCACCCUUCCCCCAUGCAUCUUAGUCCUGGGCUGACCAGAACAGUUCAUCAGUACCAGGCUCCAGGUUCUUCCCCAAGCUCUCUGGGAGUUGGGUCCUGGAUUGUGAUUCUCUCUCAAGCAGCCUGCCCUUGGGGAGGGGGAGGGUGGCGCUUCCUUCCCGCCCUGUUCCCAUUAACUGAGACUAAAUAACAUCAGGGAAACACUGAGGUGAGGGUCUGGGGUGUGGCUCAGUGGCACAGAACCUGCCUAACUGUAGAAAUCCUGGGUUCCAGCCCCAGAAAAGUCGGUUGCACAAAAUCUUGCCAGUGUCCUUAACCUACCUCCCAGAAGGGGAGUUUUACAUAAUCAGAAUGGUGGGCACAGCAGAGGCAGGGAAACUGAAUAAUAGGUAAUUUGAAGGCUGGAUCUCUUCCAAGGAGAAACACCUCACCAGAGCUCCCAGUCCCUGAGGUGGGUGGGUGGGGCUGGUUAGCUGAGUGAUCCCAAAGUCCACAGUCCCUGAACUCCACAGUCAAUGGACCACUCUUCCGCACACCUGCGACCUGUUCCCAAGUGCCUGCCCUCAGCAUAAAAGGCCUGGGAUUGUACAUUAACCUCCAGAUACUCAUCUUCCCCCACUCCCUAUGUUGGUCUCCCUCUCCCGAGGGACUGCAAGCCGCCCAGCACCAGACACUGGUUUAUUCAUUGCUGCCCUUCCGACCCCUGGGAUGGUGCCUGACAUACAGUAGGUGCUCAGUAAGCAUCUGCGGUGCAACCGGUGGUACACACCUGCAGUUUCAGCCACCUGGGAAGCUGAGGCAGGAGAAUUGAAUGGGUGAGAUCCUGUAUUUAAAAAGACACGUGUUCCUCCUGUCAGUGGUAAGGGCUCAGGCGGCUGUUCACCUUCAGGGCAAGUUGGAAGUCACUGAGUGAGGCGACACCCUCACUGAGCUGUAGUCUGGGUGGUCAGCUAGGACAGAAGAGGCCAGCGGGUCACAAGCCAAGGAUGUGCACAGUGGACCGGCGUGGGCUUGUAUGUUCUGCAGUGUGUUCUGCAGGGCAUUCUGCAGGGUGGCAGGUCAUAAUGGGCCAUUGUUUGUACAGACCAAGUGGCAGAACCUGGAACAGUACGGUGCUGUUUUUGUUAAAAACAAAACCAAACCACAGCUGGCUGGCUGGCUGGCUGGCUGGCUGGCUGGCUGACUGACCUGCUGAGCAAAUCCUUACACCCACAAGGAAAUGAAAACGGACCCAGAAAGUGAUAAAAGCAGACUGCGUUCCGACAGACACUCCAGGGACCACACAGCUAAAGUUGCAUGUGAGAGCAAUAGAUCGCCUUAAGGUCUUUAUUUAGUCAUUUUUAGCGUUGGGGAUAGAACCCAGGGCCUCACACUUGGCAAGUACACACUCGGUAGCUUAUACCCUCAACCUAGCCUUAUAUAUGGAUAUUUUGUAAUGAUCUAAAGGGGAUACAUUUUAGCUUAUAACAGUUCUGUAUCACUUGAGGUAUACAGUUCUUGUAACUAAACAUGAAUCAUUUGGUAGUUUGUCAAAUGAAAUGGUAUGUCCAUUCAAAAAUCUAGCGCACAAGGUCCGCAGGAGAUUCUCUCACAAUCCUACACCUACAGACGAAGCAUCUGCAGGACAGAUGGACAAGCUGUUUUAUGGUUAUGCCUCUUGCCCAGAGGGCACUCUAUAGUAUUCGAACACAGAAAGCAAUGACCUCCAGUUUACACUGCUUUCUAUCCCCCUCACACAUAAUCAAGAUAAAGUUUAAUUUAUAAAUUAGUCAUUCUGAGAGCAACGGCUCAUAAUAAAACAGAACUAUAACCCUAUGCUGUCAUAAAAUGUAUCCAGCAACACAUGAAACUGCUCAUUUCUGGAAUUUUCCAUUUAACAGUCAGUGCUACGGUUAGCCAUACAUAAUGCACACAUACAUACAGUACCAGGAUUACAAGGGUGAUUCACCAUGCCUGGCACAAAUCCACUGAUAUGAGGAGGUGACUUGGCAAAAUUCAUUCACAGUGACAGACAUCUCAAAGUGACUCUCUUAAGGGGCGGAGAGGGCUGGGGAUGUGGUUCAGUGGCAUAGUGUCUGACAAGCAAGGGUGAAGUCCUUAUCCCCUCCUCAAGCAGAAAAGCAAGGCGUGGAGGAGCUAAAGAGAAACCAUUGCAGAAAAGACAGCCGCUGUGUGAGCAGGAGAACGAAUGUGCUCAGUGACUCAUGGCACCUUAUCACUGAGACCUUUGGAAACUUUUGGAGAAUUAAACCUCUCACAAGUCAAGGGAGGGGGCUUUGGGAGAACCCAGCCCCAGGCUUUCGGUGCACAGGAUCAGUCAGGCGUAUGAACUCAGUAUGUGAGAGGCCAUGGACUGUCAGAGCAGUCACAAGUCUCAAGCAGGGCAGCCUGCGCUGAAUCCAGCCCCAGAUACUCCGCUGCUUUGCCUGUGCUGGGCUCCAUCCACCGUGAUUUGGGUUCAUUGCCAGGAAUCAAAAUAGAGCAUGCCCACUAGCCUGCUGCAGCCUGGGACUCAGCCAAAGCUGGAGCCCCAAGCAGGAAGCACCCAGGAGGCUGGUUCCCUAGCAGUGCCCGGCAUGUGGCUAGCGCAGAGGAUCAUGGGAAACCAUUGCCGGAUGUGGUCUUGGGGAGGUAUUGCCACGAGGAAUCCUGCCCCCUUGUACAAGGAUGAAUGGCUGCACAAUUCAUGGCAGCUAAAAAUGGAAACAGCCUGGUUGUAUCAACAGGAAAAUAGAAGCUGAGUGAUUGCAGCUCUAGCAAAAGGACUCCUGGGAUGCGCAGAACCACGAGGGAGCUCUGAAUGCACCGGAGGCGAGAAGAGAUGCAAUGGCUGAUGUGGCUUCUGGUGCUCCAAGUCUCAGUCUCCCUACAUAGUCUGUCACCUGAUCUACACCCCGAGUUUGGAAUGACUUGUAGUCAGCCACUGGAAGAGCCCUCUGAGUGCCAGGCACCGAGCAUCACUGCCCAGAAUCUGUGAGGUAGCCCAGCAUGUUGAUGUGUAUGCCUUUGUCCAUUUCACAGGUGAGAAAAAUGGGACUCAGAGAGGUUAAAAGCCUGAGAGGAAUCAGCCAGCUUCUAAGAAACAGAAAAUCACAAGCUGGUCCCCAGAUGAUAUGGUUCCUGCCACCCUUUAUACUGAAUUAUAUGAAAACUGAAGAAAAAAAGACCCCUGGGAGACAUCUCAUCCCUGGGAGAUGGUCAGGAUGGGACCUGGCUUGACCAGGAGGUUGUCCAGGGUCAGAGAACGCCCUCAGUUCUGGAGACGUGGCUCAUCAGGUACUUUUUCCCCUGGACAAUGAAUUGGAACAGCCUGAGACAGACUCUAAGCUUCUGUAUCCUUGUUUGUAACGUGGGAUUAGUCAUUCCUACCCAGAACAUCUGAGAGUUAAAAUUCAUGGAGGGGCUGAGAUGUGGCUGGUUAGCAGAAUGCUUACCUAGCGUGCACAAAGCCCUGGGUCCAUCCCCAGCACCACUGAAACCCAAUGUGGUGAUGCAUGCUUAGGACAUUUGCACUGGAGAGGCAAAGGUGGAUGAGGAAUUCAAGAAAAAAAAAGUGAAGAGUGUCUAAUGAACCUUUAGACUAUGAAAAUACGGGGUGCUUCAAAGUAGGGAAUGAGAGAAGGGAUCACCACACCUGUGUCAUGGAUGAAGACUGCCUGUUCAUUUUUUAACUAUGAUUUUCAGGUCCUUUGCUCACCAAAGGAAGCCCAAUUCACUCAAAUGUUUUGAGAACUGUUUAAAUAAAUGCAAGAAAAAUUACUGAUAAAAAAAAAAGAGCAUCCUGGGCUAUAUAAUGAGUUUGAGGUCAGCCUGGGCUACAUGAGACUCAGUCAGUUAAUCAAUCAAUCAAUCAAUCAAUCAAUCAAAGAAUGAAAAGAUCCAGGGCCACUCUGUUAGCAGGCCAGGCUCUCACCACAGGCAGGAAGCCAGCCAGAACCCUGGGCUACCUGUCUCUCUCUCUUUACUGGUGGGAUGGUCUUUGUAGGUAUGCCUUGAUCCCACAUUUGGCUUCAGGAAGAGAGACUAUCUUCCUUCCAUUAUCUGGGUAAGGUUUAACCCAAAUCCAAGUCAUGAGAGGCCUCCAAAGACCUCCUUGCAGCUUAGACUCAAGGCUACCAGCUUUUGCCCACAUUAUCAAGGCUCCACAAUUCAGUCGUCAGCUCAUGCCCCAAACAUAUGAUCAUGUCACCCAGCACAGGAAGAAACCCCUCCUCCAGCUACCUCCACCCUUCUCCCUCCCCAUCUCUGGGGAGCAACAGUUGUUUCUCUCAGAGUUUCCACAAGCUUCUCCACCCCUCAGACCAAUAACCCUCUGUGCCUGGCACAGGCCCUGCCCUUCUUGCCAGGGGCAGCUGCUACUGGGGGAGCUGCCUACCCACGCACUCUCUGGCACCAGGCACUGGUUUAGCAUAAACAGGAGUCCACAGACAGAGCCGACCUAGAGCUCCCUCGGAAAGUGUCCCAGCUGGGACAGUAGCAGAGCCAAGCAGAGGCACAUGUGGGUGCCCUGGGUGCUAGGGUUGGCUUCUUCUAACCUUGGCUGGUUGAUCUAAUCAGAACCACCCUCACAGGGAGGCCAAACGGCACCACCCCAGAUGGAGAGGUUGCAGGUGUGCUCAGGAGCUUGGGUGCAGCUCCAGCACAGAGUGUGAUUUUGGGUUUGGUGCCCAAAAUACAACUCAGGGCAGAACACAGAGGUCAUAGGGGCAUUCGGGAGUGUGUGUAGCACAGGGAGGGUGUGUUGUCCUAGGUCCGUCCCCUAGUUUAGGACUGAGAACAGCCCCUCUGUACGUUGCUCUUGGUGCCCCUGUGUGAUACUGAGCAUGGGGACUGAGCUGAGCCAAUAUUCUAACCUGCCCCUGCUUUGGGGGUGAUAGGGGGAUGGUGAGGAAGGUGGUACUCCCUAGAGGGAUUCCGGUAAAAGUUCAGGGUCAGGAUGGGAAGUGUAUCAUAAGCUGGAAGGUCAUGACAGCAGGGGACAGUGACAGGGGACACUGAGAGCAGGAGCGGUUGGGUUGGUUGAGUGUGUGUGUGAGAGUCAGUCCUGGUAAAUGCCAGUGGGCUGCAUUUAGGAAAGAAGGAAAGAAGCAGGAGAGACAGGGCUGAAGUCACCCCCCACCCCUUUUUAAUUAAAAUUAAAAAUUUGAAACAGUGUUUCUAAGUUGCUAAGGCUGACCUUGAACUUACUCAGUAGUUCAAGCAGAUCUUGAAUUUGGAGUAUUCCUGUUUCAGCCCUAGUAGCCAGGAUUCUAGGUGUGUACCACCAGGUAUGGCUUGCCCCCAUUUUUAUAGUA
rnacentral:sRNA from 1 species